rnacentral:tRNA from 3 species
UGACCGGUAGCACAACUGGUAGUUGCGCCGCGCUCUGGACGCGGAGGUUGUUGGUUCGAUCCCAGCUCGGUCAG